rnacentral:rRNA from 1 species
CCCUUAUCCCAGUUGCCAUCAGGUAAAGCUGGGGAACUCUGGGGAGACUGCCGGUGAUAAACCGGAGAAGGCGGGGAUGACGUCAAGUCCUCAUGGCCCUUACAUCCCGGGCUACACACGUGCUACAAUGGCAGGUACAGAGGGCUGCGAAGCCGCGAGGUGGAGCGAAUCCCAGAAAACCUGUCUCAGUCCGGAUUGAAGUCUGCAACUCGACUUCAUGAAGGCGGAAUCGCUAGUAACCGCGAAUCAGCAGGUCGCGGUGAAUACGUUCCCGGGCCUU